rnacentral:rRNA from 1 species
CGUGUAGGCUGGUUUUCCAGGCAAAUCCGGAAAAUCAAGGCUGAGGCGUGAUGACGAGGCACUACGGUGCUGAAGCAACAAAUGCCCUGCUUCCAGGAAAAGCCUCUAAGCAUCAGGUAACAUCAAAUCGUACCCCAAACCGACACAGGUGGUCAGGUAGAGAAUACCAAGGCGCUUGAGAGAACUCGGGUGAAGGAACUAGGCAAAAUGGUGCCGUAACUUCGGGAGAAGGCACGCUGAUAUGUAGGUGAAGUCCCUUGCGGAUGGAGCUGAAAUCAGUCGAAGAUACCAGCUGGCUGCAACUGUUUAUUAAAAACACAGCACUGUGCAAACACGAAAGUGGACGUAUACGGUGUGACGCCUGCCCGGUGCCGGAAGGUUAAUUGAUGGGGUCAGCGCAAGCGAAGCUCUUGAUCGAAGCCCCGGUAAACGGCGGCCGUAACUAUAACGGUCCUAAGGUAGCGAAAUUCCUUGUCGGGUAAGUUCCGACCUGCACGAAUGGCGUAAUGAUGGCCAGGCUGUCUCCACCCGAGACUCAGUGAAAUUGAACUCGCUGUGAAGAUGCAGUGUACCCGCGGCAAGACGGAAAGACCCCGUGAACCUUUACUAUAGCUUGACACUGAACAUUGAGCCUUGAUGUGUAGGAUAGGUGGGAGGCUUUGAAGUGUGGACGCCAGUCUGCAUGGAGCCGGCCUUGAAAUACCACCCUUUAAUGUUUGAUGUUCUAACGUGGACCCGUGAUCCGGGUUGCGGACAGUGUCUGGUGGGUAGUUUGACUGGGGCGGUCUCCUCCUAAAGAGUAACGGAGGAGCACGAAGGUUGGCUAAUCCUGGUCGGACAUCAGGAGGUUAGUGCAAUGGCAUAAGCCAGCUUGACUGCGAGCGUGACGGCGCGAGCAGGUGCGAAAGCAGGUCAUAGUGAUCCGGUGGUUCUGAAUGGAAGGGCCAUCGCUCAACGGAUAAAAGGUACUCCGGGGAUAACAGGCUGAUACCGCCCAAGAGUUCAUAUCGACGGCGGUGUUUGGCACCUCGAUGUCGGCUCAUCACAUCCUGGGGCUGAAGUAGGUCCCAAGGGUAUGGCUGUUCGCCAUUUAAAGUGGUACGCGAGCUGGGUUUAGAACGUCGUGAGACAGUUCGGUCCCUAUCUGCCGUGGGCGCUGGAGAACUGAGGGGGGCUGCUCCUAGUACGAGAGGACCGGAGUGGACGCAUCACUGGUGUUCGGGUUGUCAUGCCAAUGGCACUGCCCGGUAGCUAAAUGCGGAAGAGAUAAGUGCUGAAAGCAUCUAAGCACGAAACUUGCCCCGAGAUGAGUUCUCCCUGACCCUUUAAGGGUCCUGAAGGAACGUUGAAGACGACGACGUUGAUAGGCCGGGUGUGUAAGCGCAGCGAUGCGUUGAGCUAACCGGUACUAAUGAACCGUGAGGCUUAACCUUACAACGCCGAAG